rnacentral:ncRNA from 2 species
GGCAGAAUCAGCGGGGAAA